UACAGAGGGUGCAAGCGUUAAUCGGAAUUACUGGGCGUAAAGCGUGCGUAGACGGUUAUGUAAGUCAGAUGUGAAAGCCCCGGGCUCAACCUGGGAAUUGCAUUUGAGACUGCAUAGCUAGGGUGCGGAAGAGGGAAGCGGAAUUUCCGGUGUAGCGGUGAAAUGCGUAGAUAUCAGGAGGAACACCGGUGGCGAAGGCGGCUACCUGGACAGAAACUGACGCUGAGGCACGAAAGCUAGGGGAGCAAACAGG
rnacentral:rRNA from 1 species